AGGAAGCCCAUGGUGAACGAUCAUGCCAAUAUUGGUGCUUGUGUCACAAAGUGUACGAUUCGGCCUAUUUUGGUCUGUUAUCCACCCUACUAGUGCACGUGCAGAACGCAGUAGCCAAAUACACGUACAUAGGGUGUGAUUUGAUAUUUUGAGGUACUCUAGAAGGUCGAUAAAUCACUGUAGACCAUUCAUUGUGACAGUCAUCUUGUCAUCUAGAAGGUCGAUAAAUCACUGUAGACCAUUCAUUGUGACAAUCAUCUUGUCAUCUAGAAGGUCGAUAAAUCACCGUAGACCAUUCAUUGUGACAGUCAUCUUGUCAUCUAGAAGGUCGAUUAAUCAAUGUAGGCCAUUCAUUGUGACAGUCAUCUUGUCAUCUAGAAGGUCGAUAAAUCACUGUAGGCCAUUCAUUGUGACAGUCAUCUUGUCAUCUUGCAUGAGGAAGAGCAAGUGUUGGUGUACUCUCAAGACAUUCAUUAUUUUCAUAUCAACAUUGAUUGACUUCAAUAUAUUUCCGAAUUGUUUCAAUCGUAAAUUAAAAAUGAUGUUCCCCUACUUUUUUAAAGAGUAUAGUUGAUCAUCUGUCCGUUUGUUCCUUGGUGUAGUACAUGAAGCUCGUCAAAGCUGUAUAAACUAGAACCAUUCCUGAUAUUUA